UACGUAGGUGGCAAGCGUUGUCCGGAUUUACUGGGCGUAAAGAGCGCGCAGGCGGUCGUUCAAGUCGCGUGUGAAAGCCCCCGGCUCAACUGGGGAGGGUCACGCGAUACUGAUCGACUCGAAGGCAGGAGAGGGUAGUGGAAUUCCCGGUGUAGUGGUGAAAUGCGUAGAUAUCGGGAGGAACACCAGUGGCGAAGGCGACUACCUGGACUGUUUCUUGACGCUGAGGCGCGAAAGCUAGGGGAGCAAACGGG
rnacentral:rRNA from 1 species